ensembl:snRNA U4 U4 spliceosomal RNA
AGCUUUGUGCAGUGGCAGUAUCAUAGCCAAUGAGGGUUUAUCUAAGGCAUAAUUAUUGCUAAUUAAAUAAUUUUGAAUAAAGAAUAAAAGAACAGAUCUAUCUGUCUAUCUAUCUAUGUAUCUAUCUAUCUAUC